CUUUGAAGAGCAUUUUUCAUCCGUUUGCGUUGCUUUUCAUUACGUGAAGCUCGUCGUAUUUAUUUUACUAUCGUUUUAAAUCUACUGAUUUGACGGAUUUUCACGUUUUUCCACUUUCAUCGUUUCGCAUUCACAUUGAGAAUCACAACGCACAUCCUAUCGCUUGCUCUCGUUCGGCAUCAUUUUCCACACGCAUGAGGAUCGGAGACGUAAAACGUUGCGGUAAAUUAUGUUAUUUUGAUUUUCAUUCAAAGCCACCAAAAUUAAUGAAAAAAAAAAUGAUGUGAGCGCAUGGCGAACAACUGAAAGUGCUGAAUGGAGACGAAACAAGAAAAACAACAACAAAUGAAAACGGUGAAGAUUUACGAUGGGUUAUUUUUAUGUGAUCAAAUGAAGGAGGAAAGUGGAAAAUGAACGGAGAAAAUCUCAAAAAUUAAAAAAAUGUGAUUUCCUGAGCUGCAGUGAGUGUAAGAGAGAUAUGGAGAAGGAGAAAGAGAGAGUGUGGAAUGAUUCAGAGAUUGUGUUGAAUGGAAUAUUUCGUUAGGAAUGGAUUAACGAGACAGAUUCAUCCUUUUUUUUUUCAAUUUUAGAUCACUCUCUGAAAUAAUAAACCGUGUCAAGUCGUGUGUGCGUUGACGGAUUGCUGCGUUGAAUUUGUCAGAAUUAAAAAAGGCUGUAACAUGGAGAAACAGACAUGCACCAGUUCAGCACAAGCGAACGAGUUAUUAUCACUGCAAUUUGACAGCGCCUGUCGAGUAAACUGUAAAUUGAUAUUCUGACGCUGAUGAUGAGUAAGUGAGGGUGUGACGGAGGCCAACUCACAAUUCACAGCAUUGACAUUGUUGUUGAUGUGUCUAAAACAGUAAUUGGUCGCGCGUUGGCAAUGAUACACACACAAACACGCGAUGCGCGCACAGACAAAAGCAAUCAUUUUUAAACGCUAUCUCGGUGUUGUUUUUCCUCUUCCAUCAUCUUCUCUCUACGCAGCGAGCAGUGAGCAGCAAGAGGCGAACCGAAAAAAAAAACAAGGAACGGAAGACGAAUGACAUUUGUACGCCUGUUGCACACACUGUGCAAAUGAAUUGUGAUGUGGUAUGGCGAUAGGACCUUCACAAGCGGUCGAAUAGUUGUUGAAACGGUAAUCACUAUCGUCCAUUGUAAAUGCGCGUUAUUUAUGCAUCACUUGCUCGGUCGUUCAUAGUGGUUCGAGAUUGUGUGCGUUGCCACUGUCGUGUCGUCGUCGUCGUCGUUGUUGUCGUCAAUUGAUAUUAAAACACAUGUAAUACAAAGUGCGACAACGAGCGCCUUUGACACAAAAGAAAAACAUUUAGCAAAGCCGUUGGUAAGUGCCAGUGAUUUAUAGUCUAAUUAACACCAUUCACUUUCAGUGCACGUUGUGCCCAUGCUUCAAACUUCAUGCUGCUAUCUCAAAAACCAAGUGCGAUUUUUUAUUUUUGCGCAAAAACCAACAAAAAAAAUAUGUUAUUAAAGGAAAACGAGACAUGAUUAAAUGCAUAAAAUGCGCGAGACAGGUGGCGACAAACAUGACAAAUGACAUUAAUAUAUACACGUCCGUUGGUGCUGCCGCUGCGCGUUAUUGCCACAAUGAAUGCUAUGGCUUCAUUUUUAAGCUUCUAUUUCGCUUCAAAAAUGUGACAAAUAGAAAAAUUAACUAGUCACUACGUGCUAAUUGAAUGAUGGCUAUUGUUUGUUCCGAUGUAAAUUGAGUUUGGCUUGGUGUGGCGUUUAUUUCGCUGCCGUGUUAAAAUCAACAAACUGAAUUCAUUGCGUACACACAGAAGAAAACAAACAAACAAAUACGCUUCGUUCAAAAUGUGUGUGCAUAUAUACUCGGCUCUUGAGGUGCAAUGUGUUAAUUAUGUGGAAUACGUCAACUAAAAUUCCAAUGUGUACACCGAGCACAUCAAUCUCUCAUACGUGCCAUGGUUAAAUUAGUCGACAACCACUUUGUUGCCUUUAUUGGAAAAUAAUGAGAUAAAAAUAUUAGUUUUAAAGCAAUCAUUAGUCAUCGAACUUUCUAUUCCGUACAGUGACCGCUUUGGCUAUUGUUUACUUAACGCUCAAGGGGAAUGUCUCUAUUUAACUCAUUCUUUAUAUUGAUUUUUAGCACUCGAGCGAUGCUUCUUACUGCGAAUUGUUAUUGUGAAUGUCGUUUUAGAGACUCUCUUUCUGAGUUCCGAAGAAGAAUGGCAUUUUCAGCGAUUUGUUGUAUUUCCAGGAGUUCAAUCGUCCACAAUUAAUUAAUAAUUAUUACAGUGAAUCGGUUGUAAUCAGAAAUGGUAUAAUUCCCAUCGAAAAAGAAUCAAUUACGUGUAGGAAAUACUCACAGGUUCUCAUUAUAUUAUAUUAUUGUUAAGAAUCAUCAUAGGUAAUGAUAAGAAAACAACCAAAGCUCCGAUUUUUUCAACCAAAUUGACAUCGAAUCCGUUUACUUCGUUUCUAAUCAACCCAAAAUCAAUUUCGUUAUGAAGAAACCGAAGAAUAAAAAAAAAAUAUCUGGCUAUAAAAGAGUUCGGUUCGCACACAUUCCAUUCAUUCAAGUGAAAAGCAUUAUUGAUGCGAGUGUCGGUGGUUUUCUUAAUUUUUGGUGCCUUAUUAGUUAUCAAAGGCAAUGCUUCUGACUAUAGCGACGAGGCGCAAAAUAUAGUUGAUCAAUGGCAAAAUCUCAAUAAUAUUCCCCAUAUUAUGACUUUUUGUGGGGUUUCUGACAAGCAAUGGCAGCUAAUUUUAUGGUAUUUUUGGCGCGUUGGAAGUUAUCUCAAUGUGGGUGAAAUAAGUCGCGAAAUGGAUUUUCAUAAACAUACACGGUAUAUGGAUCAUUUUCUGGGAGAUGUCUACCGUUAAACUGGACUGAAGUAUUACACUCAUCGUAUUCAAUACAGCAUUCAAGACGAACAAGUAGACAAAGAGGAUAUUUUCAACGACAAUGCAUAUCAAUGGCAUCCGGAACUAUCAAAGUAUGGAAAUUUCAGCUAUUACCUGGAAGAGGAUAAGCUGAAUAUUCGAACCCAAGAAAAAUUGGAAUUGCAAAGAUGAACCAGCCAGUGGAAGCGUGAUUUUGGCCUCCGAUAUCGAAAUUAUCGAUCACUAUUUGAGCGGCAACCAAACGAAGCAUCUAUUUCAGUCGAAACGAGCUCACAGCGUGCGAACUGAGACGAAGCACCACUUCGUAAGAAGUCGCGCGCUAUGCACAUAUGGUGUAACUGGUAAACCAUAUACUUGAGUCACAGUAUGCUUUGAUGCAUAUAUUCGCAACAACGAAUGUUUGACCGAAGUCGCAACUGGUCAAAUGUACUGUGUACUAGCCGAUUAACUGGUGACGUGCAUCGCUGAGCAUUACAUUAAGACAUAUUUUUCGUUACAUAGCAAGUGAUGUUCGGAAGGAAUGCGGCUUUACCGUUUCGAACGAUUGAAAGAUUGCUAAUUGGAUCGUGUCUUUUGGCCAAUAUCAUCAUCGGAGGAUCAUUUGAGAGCUCACUCUCCACAGCUUAUACUAAAAAAUACAAACAAAAAUAUUGAUACUCUCAAAGAACUGGACGACUCUGGACUCGUAAUCACAGUUGCAUCACCAACAUUGCGCCACAUAUUCGGAAAUAGUCAAACUCGCUCCAAAGUUCUGCGUUCGCUUAACGAUAAACUUUUUCAUGAAUUUUUGGCAUUCACUUCAGUCGAACGCGUGGUCGAAAUUAGGGAUGUAUGCAGCAUUGAACGUUAUUCGGAUCUUUGAAUUAUGAUUAAGACAAAAUACUUGAAUGAUGAUGGCAGUGCGAAAAUUCAUGUUAUCAAAGAAUGCCUGCGGCAUUAUUUUCUAACCUACUGAAGGAGGUAAACCGUUAUUGAGCUUGAAAAAAUGAAAACAAAUCGAAUGUUUGUGAUGAAUCGACAAGUUCCCAUAACAAGCUGGUUUCGAAUUCAGGUUUUGCUAUUUUAUGGAUAUUCAAGCACCAUUUUACAUCUUGAUUAUUGGAUACAUCCUUUCAUUAAUUGUCUUUUGAGUCGAAAAAUUUGUUUUACACCCAGACAAAUUCAAGAAACUGCAAGGAAUUAUAUGGCCUGUGGACAGUGUUCUAAGCGAUUUUGAGUCGAGUCGUCGCAAAAAGUUUAAGAAAAUAAGUGGCAAUCAGAAGCGUCUAAACUUUUAGAAGAAUUGGUUUAUUCAUUUCUUCUAUUAAUCAUAUAUCAUGUGUGAUAUUUCUA